ACGAACGCUGGCGGCGUGCUUAACACCUGCAAGUCGAGCGGAAAGGCCCUUCGGGGUACUCGAGCGGCGAACGGGUGAGUAACACGUGAGUAACCUGCCCCAGACUUUGGGAUCACCCUCGGAAACGGGGGCUAAUACCGGAUACGACACAGCUUCGCAUGGGGUCUGUGUGGAAAGUUUUUCGGUUUGGGAUGGGCUCGCGGCCUAUCAGCUUGUUGGUGGGGUGAUGGCCUACCAAGGCGACGACGGGUAGCCGGCCUGAGAGGGCGACCGGCCACACUGGGACUGAGACACGGCCCAGACUCCUACGGGAGGCAGCAGUGGGGAAUAUUGCACAAUGGGCGGAAGCCUGAUGCAGCGACGCCGCGUGAGGGAUGACGGCCUUCGGGUUGUAAACCUCUUUCAGCAGGGACGAAGCGUAAGUGACGGUACCUGCAGAAGAAGCGCCGGCCAACUACGUG
rnacentral:rRNA from 1 species